UCUUCCACAUUGCAUGCAUAAUUUCAACAGUAACAGCAUGACCACCAAAAGUGUAGAGGAUAUUGGUGGCGCCUGUGAAGUAGAGAACCAGUUUUGUUGGGCCAGAGUGAGUUACGCCAUCAACCUGGCCAUGAACAAUAGCUGCAAUGGUCAAAUACCAGGCAGUGUAGGUGGUCAUUCCAAGCCCAAGAAAAGACCAAAUUCUGUAAUUGUGAAAUGAAGGUAUGAACACAGUGGUGGCACAGCAGGCUCCAAAGAUAUAUGUCCAUGUCCUCUUGUCUAAUUUGUCAUUAAUGUAGUAAAUAUUGCUUGCACAGGCUAUGAGUUGUAUAACAGAACCAAAGAGGAGAAAAGUGCAGUUAAAGGCCAACCCAACGGCUUUCCACGUUGGACCCAGUAAACCAUCUAACACUUCAAACCACUGUAUGACAUGGUUCUUGAAGCUGACAUUCUCUUUCUCCUUUCUGCUUCGGUAUUCUACAUAGAGCACACUGAUGAGAUAUGCAGUCCAGCUCCCAAGAAUCCCGUAAAAUACCUGCAAAAUUAUUCCAGAAAGCAUCCCCAUUUGGGAGAAAGAGUAAGGCAGUGUCAACAGCACCUGAGCAACCUGAUUUGAAGCACAGCUAAACCAGGCAUCAUAUACAGAACCACCAUGCCAAAGAAUACUCUUGAGGCCAAAAAUGGAGUCAUCUUCCUUGCUCUCUUCUUCUUUCUCGUCAUGCUCAGUUUCAGUGAAGCCAGAUACCAUCUCUUCCUCUGCUUGUUUCUGGGAUAUCAUUUUUGCUUCACUGCUCUACAGAUCUGUCGCAAGAUUAGUUACAGUACUUGGAUUUGGAAAUCUCCCUUGGAUUUAAAUUAAGAGAAGAGCCAGAAAAUUCUAUGUAGACCUUUUUAUUGACAAAUGUAUCACAGUCCUGCAAGUCUGCUGCUUCUUUAACACCCUUUUCUAAAGAGAGAGAGUGAGAGAUGGUGCUUGCCUCGUUUCAAGAGUGUGCUUCUCUCGUUUUAUACCUUGUAAGAGCUAAGAAUAGAGUCCAGACGUCGAGUCCAAACGGCUGUUACAGCUCUUUUUUGCGGGUAGAGUGAUUAUAGUCCAAAUUCCCCCCUGCUUUCACCUAAUAGAACUGACACUGUAAAAAUCUGAUAGCUAUUUCACAACUUGGGCAAGCUUAAAGAAAAGAAAAGAAAAGGAGAAGAAAAAAAGUGUAAGAAAAUCUCUCUUAAAAAGGAAACUUUGAGCAAGAAAAUACAAAGAAGAAUUCUGACAGAAAGGAACACCUGAAAAAGAAAGGAAACUAGCCUGGAGCUGCUUUGGCACAUAAAACUACCUCAUAUUGUUCUUAAGAAACAGAGAAAAACAACAAUUUUUUUGACUUCUUUAAUUUUUUUCCCCUCUCUGCUUAUGGUGUUUCUGCUAACAGAUUCUGCAGAGAGGCCUUUAGCCUUUGGCUUCUAGCUUCUAUUCUCCGUGCUUCGUUUUGUCUAGCUUUGGUGUUUUCUGUCUUUAGUUUACCAUAUGCGACCCUUUUUAAAUGAGUUUGGACAGAUCCCAAUCUAGAGAAAUUAAAAUCCUGGAAUUUCUAUUUCCUGUUUUUGCUGUGAUUUCCA
rnacentral:misc_RNA from 1 species